rnacentral:misc_RNA from 1 species
AAAAUGAAACCUAUUUCCGGUUCAAAAGAACAAUCCAAUAUGGCAAUAACCAUCGACCCACAUCAUCCCGAAAAACAUCAACGCCACUUUCAGGACCUGGAAUAUUAAAAACAUCAACUUACGCCCACCCAGGAGGAGAAAUUUCCCAACCAAACAGAGAGAAAUAGAGCUUGGACAUAUUGGUUAGAGCGAUGAGAGAAGGCCAAACUAAAGAUGGAUUCAACAAAUAUAGCUAGAGAAAUGUGAGCGCCCUCAAUGACAUCCUUAGGGCGUCAUUUCCACAGCUCUAUGUCAUGAAACAAAUGGAAAAAAUGCA